rnacentral:rRNA from 1 species
UACCUGCAGCUCGAGUGGUAACCGCUAUUAUUGGGCCUAAAGCGUCCGUAGCCGGUUUGGUAAAUAUCUGGGUAAAUCGUGAGGCUUAACUUCACGAAUUUCGGAUAGACUGCCAGACUUGGGAUCGGGGGAGGUCAGAGGUACUCCAGGGGUAGCGGUGAAAUGUUGUAAUCCUUGGAGGACCACCGGUAGCGAAGGCGUCUGACUAGAACGAGUCCGACGGUGAGGGACGAAGCCCUGGGGCGCAAACCGGAUUAGAUACCCGGGUAGUCCAGGGUGUAAACUAUGUGGGCUUUGUAUUGGAGGUCCCACGUGGGCGUCCAGUGCAGAAGAGAAGUUGUUAAGCCCACCGCCUGGGAAGUACGGUCGCAAGGCUGAAACUUAAAGGAAUUGGCGGGGAGCACAGCAACGGGAGGAGCGUGCGGUUU